GACGACCGCUGGCGGCGUGCCUAAUACAUGCAAGUCGAACGCAGUGGGGACGGGUGAGUAACACGUGGGUAACCUCCCAUCAGAGGGGAGAACACUUGGAAACAGGUGCUAAAACGAUACUGAUGGAUGGAGCCUCGGUGCCUUAGCUAGUUGGUGAGGUAACGGCUCACCAAGGCAACGAUGCAUAGCUGACCUGAGAGGGUGAUCGGCCACACUGGGACUGAGACACGGCCCAGACGCCUACGUGAGGAAGCAGUAGGGAAUCUUCGGCAAUGGACGAAAGUCUGACCGAGCAACGCCGCGUGAGUGAAGAAGGUUUUCGGAUCGUAAAACUCUGUUGUUAGAGAAGCGGUAUCUAACCAGAAAGCCACGGCUAACUACGUGCCAGCAGCCGCGGUAAUUC
rnacentral:rRNA from 1 species